GUGCUCGCUUCGGCAGCACAUAUACUGAAAUUGGAAGGAUACAGAGAAGAUUAGCAUGACCCCUGCGCAAGGAUGACAUGCAAAUUCAUGAAGCAUUUCAUAUUUUU
rnacentral:snRNA from 1 species